rnacentral:rRNA from 1 species
CACGUAGGGGGCAAGCGUUGUCCGGAAUCAUUGGGCGUAAAGAGCUCGUAGGCGGCUCGGUAAGUCGGGUGUGAAACCCCCAGGCUCAACCUGGGGACGCCACCCGAUACUGCUGUGGCUAGAGUCCAGUAGGGGAGUGUGGAAUUCCCGGUGUAGCGGUGAAAUGCGCAGAUAUCAGGAGGAACACCGGUGGCGAAGGCGGGUCUCUGGGCCGAUACUGACGCUGAGGAGCGAAAGCGUGGGGAGCGAACAGG